AGCACAGCUUUCUGAACUACUGGGGGAGAAAUAAUCGGAUGCUGCCUAAUUUAACCUGAAAACAGCUCGUAUGUUUGCAAGCGUGCCUCUUCUCCUGCUUUGUACUGACCAACUACGUUGCUACAUUUCUCUGCAAUCCUUGCUGAAGUGACGCUUUUCCUUGUUGAUGCAGGGAUGGCAGAAACGGCCCUGUGGCAACUUGGGCUUGACACUGGGAGUGUGAAAGAUGACGUGCAGCAGAAAGGCACAAGAUGAGAAAGUAAUAAGAAGAAUGGCUUGGCCAACCUUUUUUUGACGGGGAGCAAAAUCUUCUAUGGGUGUCAUUUUACCAGAGAUAAACAAGCAAGAGAGACCUCUCCACCUCCUCCCAUGGCAGCACACUACCUCCAAGUUGGCAGAACACAGCAGGGAGGAUGUUAGCCUAAACUCAGUAACCUCAAAAUACUUUCUUGCAGCUGUAAUCUGCUAUAGUAGAGAAAACUAUUGAUUCCCAGAGGUGCAGGUAGCAGGAGCAGACCCUGAAUCCUCUCAGUCCACGAGGAAAGAAGGAUUGAAGGACAGCCCGACAUACUGAUGCCCAACACUGAAAAGUGCAAGAAUUCCCUACCUGUAUGAAACACCCAGUAAGUUAACAGCCACAUGUGGAUUAAUCUACGCUUCAGUUCUACCGUUGUGCGUAUUCAAAUAUUAUUUUAGCGACAACG